rnacentral:rRNA from 1 species
UACGUAGGGAGCAAGCGUUGUCCGGAAUCAUUGGGCGUAAAGAGCGCGUAGGUGGCUUUAUAAGUCCGUUGUGAAAGUCAAAGGCUCAACCUUUGAAAGCCGAUGGAUACUGUGAAGCUAGAGUACGGAAGAGGCGAGUGGAAUUCCCGGUGUAGCGGUGAAAUGCGCAGAUAUCGGGAGGAACACCAAUGGCGAAGGCAGCUCGCUGGGACGUUACUGACGCUGAGACGCGAAAGCGUGGGGAGCAAACAGG